rnacentral:lncRNA from 1 species
CCGGGCCCCAGCCGCCGCGCGCCCUAGCGCCUCCGCGCCAGCCUUGCGCGCCCUCGCCCGCUUCCCGCAGCCCCCGGCCCGCGCCCCUCGGGGUCCCGCGGCGGAACCGCGCGGGAUGUGACCCUUUCCCCGUGCCCCCCGGGGCCCCGCCUUAGCCUGCUUUUGGGAGGGGGGGCGGGUGGGGAGGGGCGCGCGGAUCAUGGCAUUGGAGUUCCCGGGCUUGCAGCCGCCGCCGCCACCUCUUCCACGCAGCCCGAGCGCCCCUUCUUCCCCGAGCAGCAGCGGAGAAGGCGAAGCGGCCGGCGGGGGCGAGGCAGAUGGGGCUCAAGGCGCGCAGGCCGGCGGGGGCGGCUGGCGGCGGCGGCGACGGGGGCGGCGGAGGCGGCGGGGCAGCUAACCCGGCCGGAGGGGACGCGGCGGCGGCCGGCGACGAGGAGCGGAAAGUGGGGCUAGCGCCGGGCGACGUGGAGCAAGUCACCUUGGCGCUGGGAGCCGGAGCUGACAAAGACGGGACCCUGCUGCUGGAGGGCGGCGGCCGCGACGAGGGGCAGCGGAGGACCCCGCAGGGCAUCGGGCUCCUGGCCAAGACGCCCCUGAGCCGCCCAGUCAAGAGGAACAACGCCAAGUACAGACGCAUCCAAACUUUGAUCUACGACGCCCUCGAGAGACCGCGGGGCUGGGCGCUGCUCUACCACGCGCUCGUCAAGGGGAAGCCUUUGGAACAGAGCUGGAGAUGAAACUGUUGCACAGAGAAUUGAAAUCACGCACGCCUGGCCAGCCACCCGGGACAGCUCUGCCUGGUGUCUCGUUCUCGGAGGGUGAGCGGUGCCUCCAGCAUUGCUUCUCCUGGCCAGGGGCCUGUUUGGGAGUGAAGUUUCCAGAGGAAGUGCCUUUAUUUCCAGGAGGGGCUGUCCCCUGAGGACCCCCUCCCCUGGCGGUGCCUUUCCGGAGUCGCCUCCACCAUCCUUGUUGCUACGUCCUAUCCCUGCCAUGUGAUGGAGUCUUUCCAAACCUCAAUCCAUAUGUUUGCUGCAUAAGCAAGUGGUGGUUGAAGAAAUGAUUGAACCCGGUUGCAGCCUUGAUCUUGCCUUGAAACAACCAGGGUUGUUUUUGAACUUAGUCUCCACCCUCAAUGACCUUGGAAGACCUCUGUCACAGCCCACCUGUUGUCCCCUGGCCCUUCAGUGAGUUGGUGCUUAGUCAGACCUCUCUGAUGGGAAGUUAAUCUCCAGUCAACCACAUCCUAAAGUUCAUCUUCCAGAUAGUAGGAAAAGGAGCCUUAAUAGGUCUCUUAAUAGUUUCCUGAAGCUAAAUGUAAGUAGGGCUCUUUCAGAAGCAACCUGUAUAUUUUGGGCAGAAUGGGGACGCUAGACAGGGCUUCCCUGGUGGCUCGGAGGUACAGAACCUGCCUUCCAACGCAGGAGACGUGGAUUUGAUUCCUGGGUCAGGAAGAUCCCCUGAAGGAGAAAAUGGCAGCCCAUUCCAGUAUUCUGGCCUGGGAAAUCCCAUGUAUAGAGGAGCCUGGCGUGCUAUAAUGUGUGGAAUCACCAAAGAGUCAGACACGCCUGAGGACGCACACACGGAGGCUGGGUGAUAGAAGGAAGGUUGAGUCGGGACAGCAGGACUUGGGGAAUCUCAGGGCUGUGUUUUGUGGGAAUGGUGGUUUCAGGCGCCUGGACAAGCUUACCCUGCGCUUUGUGAGCUGAUGGCUGUGGGUGGGUCCUCUGUUCAGAAGUAGCGAAUGUCUUGUCUGUGGCCACCUCUGAGCUUUUUGCCCAGUGGCAGUCCCAUGGCAGACUUUUGAAGAAUAGGAAUUGACCAAGGACAUGUGCCAUCUUACAGAGUGUGGAAGAGCCCUUUCCACGCUCCCUGCUCACUCUGCGCAGUCUCCCCUGACCCCACCCUGCCCUUGAUGUGGCAGGAGAAUACAGGCUGGGCCCUCAUGGAGAUGCUCAGCCAAACCCUUGUCUGCCUGUGACUGAGUCACGUAGGAGCCGUCUCAUUUCCUCAUCUGGAAAAUCAGGACAGUGGGCUUAUGGUGAAAACUAAGAUAAAUAAUUGUCACGUACAAAGUACUUGGCCUUUAUAUAAACUGGUGAAUAUGAAGUCUCUUCCUUGCCUCAUCCACCAAGAGUGUCCCAUACGGUGACUACAUAAGAGUUUCAGUUCUCAGGAGGGUUGAAACAGAGAAGCAGAACCAGUAGGAGAGAUCUAUUGAGAGGUUUAUUGCAGGGAGUUUAUUAGGUGAGUGUGGGGGCUGGCAGGGCAACUCUGGAAUCCCAGAGGAGUUGUCAGGAUGGGCAGGCUGGAACUCGCUGCACUGGUGGGAUUUCCUCUUUAUUAGGGACGUCUUGCCUCUGCUUGUAAGGCAUUCUAGCUGGUAGGAUCAGACCCCCAG